UACGGAGGGUGCAAGCGUUGUCCGGAAUCACUGGGCGUAAAGGGCGCGUAGGCGGCUCAUGAAGGCUGUGGUGAAAGUCCGGGGCUCAACCUCGGAUCGGCCGUGGCGACUCGUGGGCUGGAGCACUGUAGAGGCGGGUGGAAUUCCGGGUGUAGCGGUGGAAUGCGUAGAGAUCCGGAAGAACACCAGUGGCGAAGGCGGCCCGCUGGGCAGUGGCUGACGCUGAGGCGCGAUAGCGUGGGGAGCAAACAGG
rnacentral:rRNA from 1 species